rnacentral:lncRNA from 1 species
AAUAAUGGAUGUUGUAUUUUGCAUUUUUCCUUAUCGUCACAGAAAUUGUUAUGAUAAUAAUUUCAAUGAAGAAUAUUCAAAAUUCAGCAUGGGAUCCAGUGCAUAAAUAUGAGCUCAUGGAGAAUCCAGGGCAUCUCAGGGAGCCUGGCUGAGAAGACUGUGCAUGAGUCAACCACAAGGCAGUAAGGACAUGGAGAGUCCUGGGACCAGAGCUGUCAUUAACAAACACAGCAGAGCAGUUCAUUCAUUUAACUAACAUAUGCAAACUUUACUCCUGCAGUGUGUAGCCAUAAACCAGAGAUGUCUCAUCCCUCACUUUAAUCAUAUGCAAGUCCAUUAUGCAUAGACGGAAGACGAAGGAUGGAAGUUGUCUAGGUGUGAACCAAAUACUGACCUCUCCCUCAAAGGUAUCUUCUUUGACAUGAGAAGACUGAACAGUCAGUCAAGGAUACUGAAAACUUAGGUUACUCCUGGCCUAGUACAGAGAUCUUAGCAGCCACCACCAACAGCUCCAGCUUCAAAAUAACACUCUGGUCUUAUCAGAUUGACUCCAACCACAUCCUCAUACAGAUGAAGGCCAGCUUCAUCUGUGUGCCACCUUUAAUGAUUUCCAAGAAUGGCUCAUCCUGACAGAAUAUUUUACUUAAAAAAAAAAUAAAUGAUCUCUCACCAAGCAUGCAAUCGCAACACUGUGGGUACAUUGGCACGUUUCAUAUAAUCUGUGUUCUUCAGUCACGCAGUGGACAUCUGUUGGUUAUGUUUGCCAAAAAUUCAUUUCCCCUUCCUUUGAAAUGGCGCCCCAGACUCACAUUGGGAAGGCUGCCCCUUCCUUAGGGCAUGCAAGCAUGGGAUUGUUAAACAGGAUGUUUUCAUUUUCUCCAGCCAGGGGAUGGACAUAUAGGACAAACUAUAUGAAUCCCGUGCUUGCUUUUCUUUGAAAUCUGGAGCUCACAAUGAAUGUGGAGAAUGGUAUAAAAAGCAGUUGGCAUUAAUUAUCACAGCCUGUUAUAAUUGUUCUUUGGUUUUUUCCCUCUAAACAUGUCAGUUUCUGAUUUCAAGAAUGACUCUAAUCAUAUACAGGGAUCUGAAUUCUUCUGUCCUACCUAUCUUUUGCACUUCAUGGGCUAGGUUGGAUUCUGUUAUUUACACCCAAGCAAUCCUAACUGAUCUAAGUUUUCCCGGGAUGUAUUUUUAAUAGGGAUAUGUAUUGCCCCAAAUUUCCUGUUACUGAGGUUCAUUUCUGUUCCAAGAUAGAAUCAUACAUUAUUGUCAUGUGACUUUUCCUGGAACAAUAGGGGUGAAUGUCUGUUCACCCCAGGUACCACAACAGAAAUAAAUUUAAGAAACAGCCCCAUCCAAGUCUGCCUAGGUGAAUGAGGAUGCCCACUGUGGUUAUUUAUAGGGGCAUGGGUGAAGGAUUACUCACUGAAAGACCCAGCUCCACAAAGGUGACGGCUUACAGAAUUUGCC